rnacentral:miRNA from 1 species
UUUUAGUGAUGUGGCAGAAAGAUG